rnacentral:lncRNA from 1 species
CAAAAUGAUCUGUUCCUGAUUAAAAGAGUCUCAAUCAGUUUGGUAUAAUGGAAAAUAGGAUGGAGGCCAGAAAAGGAACAUGGCAUUUAGGCAACAUUGCCAAAAACACAGGUAUUCAAGCAUUUCACGGUCCCAGUGGUCUUCCAGGACUUGUCCGUCACAAUAUCCUACACAACCUCUGACUGUCCAGGGAGGUCAGGGACGCCAUGGCUUUGGAAAUGAUUCCUCAUGGUCUCGUAUUUGCUGCAAAUAGACCUUAUUCUGUAAGACAACUACUUCUGGUGGAGAGUCUGAUUUAACUUGCCAGGAAGGAACCCACUUCAGGUUGGUAACAAUGCUACUUUUGAAGCAGCAAAAUACAAUCUUAUAUUCUAUAACUACUUGUUACUUACCUUCAUACCUAAGCCUCAAACAUACAAACUCAAAGAUGUAUGUUUGAGAGAAUGUACGCAUUAGGAUUUGUCCGACUUGGUUUUGAAUCAUGAAUUUGUAAUUCACUAGCUUUGUAAUCCUGGAGCAGCUAAUAUUUCUGAACCUCAGUUCCUUUAUCUGCAAUAUAGGACCUAUAAUAUCCAUUGCCAGGUCUGUAAAAGACAUUCAAUAAAUAUUGUCAGUAAAAAAUCUAGGUAGC